GACAGAGGAUGCAAGCGUUAUCCGGAAUGAUUGGGCGUAAAGCGUCUGUAGGUGGCUUUUUAAGUCUGCCGUCAAAUCCCAGGGCUUAACCCUGGACAGGCGGUGGAAACUACCAAGCUGGAGUACGGUAGGGGCAGAGGGAAUUUCCGGUGGAGCGGUGAAAUGCGUAGAUAUUGGGAGGAACACCAGUGGCGAAGGCGGCUCACUGGACCGGAACUGACGCUGAGGCGCGAAAGCGUGGGGAGCAAACAGG
rnacentral:rRNA from 1 species